rnacentral:rRNA from 1 species
AAAUUGAAGAGUUUGAUCAUGGCUCAGAUUGAACGCUGGCGGCAGGCCUAACACAUGCAAGUCGAACGGUAACAGGAAGCAGCUUGCUGCUUUGCUGACGAGUGGCGGACGGGUGAGUAAUGUCUGGGAAACUGCCUGAUGGAGGGGGAUAACUACUGGAAACGGUGGCUAAUACCGCAUAACGUCGCAAGACCAAAGAGGGGGACCUUCGGGCCUCUUGCCAUCAGAUGUGCCCAGAUGGGAUUAGCUAGUUGGUGAGGUAACGGCUCACCAAGGCGACGAUCCCUAGCUGGUCUGAGAGGAUGACCAGCCACACUGGAACUGAGACACGGUCCAGACUCCUACGGGAGGCAGCAGUGGGGAAUAUUGCACAAUGGGCGCAAGCCUGAUGCAGCCAUGCCGCGUGUAUGAAGAAGGCCUUCGGGUUGUAAAGUACUUUCAGCGGGGAGGAAGGUGUUGUGGUUAAUAACCGCAGCAAUUGACGUUACCCGCAGAAGAAGCACCGGCUAACUCCGUGCCAGCAGCCGCGGUAAUACGGAGGGUGCAAGCGUUAAUCGGAAUUACUGGGCGUAAAGCGCACGCAGGCGGUCUGUCAAGUCGGAUGUGAAAUCCCCGGGCUCAACCUGGGAACUGCAUUCGAAACUGGCAGGCUUGAGUCUUGUAGAGGGGGGUAGAAUUCCAGGUGUAGCGGUGAAAUGCGUAGAGAUCUGGAGGAAUACCGGUGGCGAAGGCGGCCCCCUGGACAAAGACUGACGCUCAGGUGCGAAAGCGUGGGGAGCAAACAGGAUUAGAUACCCUGGUAGUCCACGCCGUAAACGAUGUCUACUUGGAGGUUGUGCCCUUGAGGCGUGGCUUCCGGAGCUAACGCGUUAAGUAGACCGCCUGGGGAGUACGGCCGCAAGGUUAAAACUCAAAUGAAUUGACGGGGGCCCGCACAAGCGGUGGAGCAUGUGGUUUAAUUCGAUGCAACGCGAAGAACCUUACCUGGUCUUGACAUCCACAGAAGAAUCCAGAGAUGGAUUUGUGCCUUCGGGAACUGUGAGACAGGUGCUGCAUGGCUGUCGUCAGCUCGUGUUGUGAAAUGUUGGGUUAAGUCCCGCAACGAGCGCAACCCUUAUCCUUUGUUGCCAGCGGUCCGGCCGGGAACUCAAAGGAGACUGCCAGUGAUAAACUGGAGGAAGGUGGGGAUGACGUCAAGUCAUCAUGGCCCUUACGACCAGGGCUACACACGUGCUACAAUGGCGCAUACAAAGAGAAGCGACCUCGCGAGAGCAAGCGGACCUCAUAAAGUGCGUCGUAGUCCGGAUUGGAGUCUGCAACUCGACUCCAUGAAGUCGGAAUCGCUAGUAAUCGUGGAUCAGAAUGCCACGGUGAAUACGUUCCCGGGCCUUGUACACACCGCCCGUCACACCAUGGGAGUGGGUUGCAAAAGAAGUAGGUAGCUUAACCUUCGGGAGGGCGCUUACCA